rnacentral:rRNA from 1 species
UACGUAGGGGGCGAGCGUUGUCCGGAUUUAUUGGGCGUAAAGAGCGUGUAGGCGGUUCGGUAAGUCUGUCGUGAAAUCCUGAGGCUCAACCUCGGGCGUGCGAUGGAUACUGCCGGGCUAGAGGGUGGUAGAGGCGAGUGGAAUUCCCGGUGUAGCGGUGAAAUGCGCAGAUAUCAGGAGGAACACCGGUGGCGAAGGCGGGUCUCUGGGCCGAUACUGACGCUGGAGGAGCGAAAGCGUGGGAGCGAACAGG